rfam:Triticum aestivum genome assembly, contig: Triticum_aestivum_CS42_TGACv1_scaffold_221980_3B
GCGAGUCGUGUGAUGGGAAACCUUCCCGCACGGUUCGGAGAGCACUGAAGACGAAUGAAAGGUUCACCACCACAUCAUUGCAAGGGGAGCUCGCUCGAUUCACAGAUUGGCCUGACUCGUAAUUCACUUUUGACUCUAU